UAUAAAGUGGCGAACGGCUGAGCAACACGUGGGCAACCUGCCCUUUGCACUGGGAUAGCCUCGGGAAACCGAGGUUAAUACCGGAUACUCCAUAUUUGUCGCAUGGCGAAUAUGGGAAAGCUCCGGCGGCAAAGGAUGGGCCCGCGGCCUGUUAGCUAGUUGGUGGGGUAGUGGCCUACCAAGGCAAUGAUGGGUAGCCGGGUUGAGAGACCGACCGGCCAGAUUGGGACUGAGACACGGCCCAGACUCCUACGGGAGGCAGCAGGU
rnacentral:rRNA from 1 species